rnacentral:rRNA from 1 species
GAGUUUGAUCAUGGCUCAGGAUGAACGCUGGCGGCGUGCCUAAUACAUGCAAGUCGAGCGAACAGACGAGGAGCUUGCUCCUCUGACGUUAGCGGCGGACGGGUGAGUAACACGUGGAUAACCUACCUAUAAGACUGGGAUAACUUCGGGAAACCGGAGCUAAUACCGAAUAAUAUAUUGAACCGCAUGGUUCAAUAGUGAAAAACGGUUUUGCUGUCACUUAUAGAUGGAUCCGCGCCGCAUUAGCUAGUUGGUAGGGUAACGGCUUACCAAGGCGACGAUGCGUAGCCGACCUGAGAGGGUGAUCGGCCACACUGGAACUGAGACACGGUCCAGACUCCUACGGGAGGCAGCAGUAGGGAAUCUUCCGCAAUGGGCGAAAGCCUGACGGAGCAACGCCGCGUGAGUGAUGAAGGUCUUCGGAUCGUAAAACUCUGUUAUUAGGGAAGAACAAAUGUGUAAGUAACGUAUAGUCGACGUCGUUCGUACGGUACCGUUAACUACUA